rnacentral:rRNA from 1 species
AACGAACGCUGGCGGCAUGCCUAACGCAUGCAAGUCGAACGAGACCUUCGGGUCUAGUGGCGCACGGGUGCGUAACGCGUGGGGACCUGCCCUUAGGUUCGGAAUAACUCCCCGAAAGGGGUGCUAAUACCGGAUAAUGUCUUCGGACCAAAGAUUUAUCGCCUUUGGAUGGGCCCGCGUUGGAUUAGCUAGUUGGUAGGGUAAAAGCCUACCAAGGCGACGAUCCAUAGCUGGUCUGAGAGGAUGAUCAGCCACACUGGGACUGAGACACGGCCCAGACUCCUACGGGAGGCAGCAGUGGGGAAUAUUGGACAAUGGGCGAAAGCCUGAUCCAGCAAUGCCGCGUGAGUGAUGAAGGCCUUAGGGUUGUAAAGCUCUUUUACCCGGGAUGAUAAUGACAGUACCGGGAGAAUAAGCUCCGGCUAACUCCGUG